rnacentral:rRNA from 1 species
CCUACGGGUGACAGCAGUGAGGAAUAUUGGUCAAUGGUCGAGAGUCUGAACCAGCCAAGUAGCGUGAAGGAUGACUGCACUAUGGGUCGUAAACCUCUUUUAUAAAGGAAUAAAACCAGGGACGUGUGCCUUUUUGCAUGUACUUUAUGAAUAAGGAUCGGCUAACUCCGUGCCAGCAGCCGCGGUAAUACGGAGGAUCCGAGCGUUAUCCGGAUUUAUUGGGUUUAAAGGGAGCGGAGACGGGUUGUUAAGUCAGUUGGGAAAUGCUGCGGCUCAACCGUAGACUUGCAGUUGAUACGGGCAGUCUUGAGUAGAAGUGAGGUAUGCGGAAUUCGUGGUGUAGCGGUGAAAUGCAUAGAUAUCACGCAGAACUCCGAUUGCGAAGGCAGCUUACUAGACUCCCACUGACACUGAUGCUCGAAAGUGUGGGUAUCAAACAGGAUUAGAUACCCCUGUAGUC